CUACAAUAUGAUAUACUAUCACGUAAAAAUGUGCUUGCGCAUCUGUUCCUGACACACGUGUAACGCAGGUGUCAAAUACAUGUGCGGAGACUAUUAGGCUCUUGCCUUUCUAUUUACUCUUUGUGCACUUCCUAGUCACGUGACCGCCACAGUCCAAUCAGCUGUAGGCAUAUACCGGUUGCCGGAAGUGACUGGUAUGCUGUCAUGCUGUAGUUAAUCUUUGGCAACUCUGCGCACUCCUCCUUUGUCACGUGACCGCUGCGGUCCAAUUAGUGGUGCUUAUAAGCCGAUAGCAGGAAGUAGCCAGGAAACAGGACAUGAGAUCGAUUACAUAUCUGCUCGAGAGCCGACUUCCAGCGCCAAAUUCAUUAAGCUGUGUUUGACUGUAGAAGCUCAAUUGACCUGACGGCGUGUCGUGACAUUGCUGGUUUUACGAGCAGAGGAGCAUGUUCGGCAGCGCACACACACAUGGAAGCAUCCCACGUUCGGGAGUGGCCGGUCAGAGGAGGCAAGAGAGUCGCAGCUGCCACUUUGACAGGUGCACGAGGAACGACGCAAGCUCUCCGCUCAUGUCUACGUGAUUGGACCAUGUGGAGAGUGCAAGCAUACUUCCUGCGGUGCUUUAGCGCUAAACCAUUGGCGAGUCGCAGAGGGAACAUGGAGCCUGGAGUAUCUUCUUGACCCACUGUGGAUCUAAAAGGGAACCGGAUCAUGGCUAUUAUUACUCGAGCACCAACGAUGAGCAAAGGUUGAACAGGAAGUGGAUCAACAUUGUUCUCACCGUCAGGUGCUGGGAGUGCUGAGAUGCUGUCCUGCAAGAGGCAGCGCCGGAAUUUCAGCGCCUGGCACGCCUGGUAAGACAACACGCACCUAAAACAGCCAAGAAAAAGGGUAUUCGAGCCAGCGGUCUUGCACAAACGCACACACACGACGAGGUGGUGAGUGACAAGACAACAAAGCGUGGCGCGUGUGUAAAUGUCAAAACAGGAAAUGGUGUGAUUGCAGCUCCGUGAAGGUAAAUAAACACUUCAUCUGUGUACCUGAACCAAAUGUGGCCAUUUCCGCAUAUGGCUUGUUUGUGGUCGGUGAAAGGCAGCACGUCCUGACACAAGCAGCAGUGCUCCUGGAACGUCUGCUUCUGCAUCUUUUUCUUGAUGUGUCCGAUCAGGACCUAAGUGAACACAAACAGAAGUGAGGUUCAUCUCACUUUGAACCUGCGUGAGGCCAAAAGUUUAUUUAAACCACACAUUUUUUUUUUUUAAUCAAGCCAAACGGAAAUGAGCUAGAAAGGGACAAAUAUGAGCAGUAAAAUACAUUUCAUCCAACUGCAGCCUUUAGAAUAUUUGUUGACUGGCAUUUUUUUCUUGUAUUUACAUAUAGUUAAUGCAAACUCAAACAUUAGAUCACAGGUGUCAAACUCAAGGCCAGGGAGCCAGAUCUGGCCCGCAAAGACCUGGAAAUGUGUCAAUCAAGUACUUAAUAUUCUCUCACUUAACCUCUUAAGGCCCAAGCCGUUUUUUUACAUGCUUUUUAAUUUUUCUCUUUGCUAUUUGGGCUUAUUGGACCAUAAUUAGAAUAAUAACUAAGAAUCAUAUUUUGGUAUGAUGUACUUAGUCCGUAAGUACACAAACGUGUACUUCAUGUUUAGUGUACUGCAAUGUUUUUUUCCCCAACUUCCAUUGUAUGUUAUAGUCUAGUCUUCCGACACCACCAAAUGUCCACAUAAGAGGCCAUAAGACCCCAAUUCAGGAGUGUACACAAUUUUGGAAAUAAGAACUAAAAGGUGCUGUCCACACAUCUGGCCACUAAGCCUUUAAUUAAUUUCAUUUAUUUUUUUCAUUUUCACAGAAAAAUGUACUACUUGAACUUACAUGCCUUUUAAACUUUAAUAGUAUCCUAUAUUGCCACAAAUAUUACAGUAUAUUAUCAUACUUUCAGUACAUGUUUUUGUGAAGUGAAUUGAAGAGAAUUAUAUUUUAUAUAGCGCUUUUCUCAAGUGACUGACUCAAAGCGCUUUACAUAGUGAAACCCAAUAUCUAAGUUACAUUUAAACCAGUGUGGGUGGCACUGGGAGCAGGUGGGUAAAGUGUCUUGCCCAAGGACACAACGGCGGUGACUAGGAUGGCGGAAGCGGGAAUCGAACCUGCAACCCUCAAGUUGCUGGCACGGCCACUCUACCAACCGAGCUAUGCCGCCCCUAAAUGUCUAAAUUAAAAAAUAAAAAAAAUACUUUACAGCAAACUACCCAUCAAAUUGAUAAAAAUUACAAUAAAUGUAACGUUGUUCUUUACAUCAUAUUACUGUAAAUUGAAAAAAAAAUACUGUUUUUGUGUUAAAAUUCUGUUGACUGAGCUGCCAGUUUUUGACUGUAAAAUCUAUGGUUGUAGUUUUUAACGGUGUAUUACUGUAAAUGGAAAGAUAAUGGAAAAACUGGCAGCUAAGUUGCCAGAACAAAAAAAGAACUUUUACUGUUUUUCCAUGAACAAUAUAAUGUGCUAAAAACCAUUGUCAAUUUAACACAAAAAUUCUGGCAAGUAAGCUGCCAGCUUUUUUCGUAAACCCCCCCAUCUGGCAAAAAAAAACAGUGGUACUAUUUUUCCAUUUACCGUAAAAUGUUGUAGAAAAUAAAAACCCACCAUAUUUUACAGUAAAGUUUAUUAAAUGUAAAUGUUUUACUGUAAAACUGACAGUCUACUUAAAACAAUUUAUACAAUUAAUAAUGAAAUCCAGAGGCAUAUUAAUACAUUAUUCACUGUUACUAGUGGCCCUAACUGCCAUGUGGCCCUCAAUGAGAACCAGUUUGACAUGCCUGGUUUAAAUUGUGUAUCAUCGACUUCUCUGAACAGAGCCUGAGGUUGCAAUAAUACAAUAAAACAGAUACAUUCAAGGAAUCAAUUGACUAGAUGAACGUACUACAUUCCCCACGCUGAGCAUUCAUGCUUCAGCAAGUCAUUAAUUAUUUGCGAGAGGAGCGAUCGCAUUAAAUAAAUGAGACGUUUUGGUUGCAUACACCAGUUGUGUGAAUAAUACAACAUUGUGUACAUAUUGUCCUUAUAUUGACACGCGCAUGCUGAUUGUUUUGACUUUUGGACGACUUAAUCUGAUAUUGUUAAUUAGUAUCAAUAUGUAUUUUUUCUUAUAUCGUUUUGCUCCCUUUUUCAAUUGUACUUUGUUGAGAAGUUUAAAGUUUCUAAGAACUUCUGCAAAUACUUUUAGUGAACUUUUCUUUAUUAAAACGACUAGCAAAAAAUUGAUCUUUUUGUGGUGUGAUUGGAGACUCUACUCAUCAGGGUUUCCCGCAGCGCUUUGUUGUAAAGGCGGCCGCCUUAAAGGGAAACAUUAUCACAAUUUCAAAAGGGUUAAAAACAACAAAAAUCAGUUCCCAGUGGCUUAUUUUAUUUUUCGAAGUUUUUUUCAAAAUUUUACACCUCCCGGAAUAUCCCUAAAAAAAGCUUUAAAGUUCUUGAUUUUCGGUAUUUGCAAUGCGACUGUCCAUUUCCCUGUGACGUCAUACAGUGCUGCCAAUACAAACAAACAUGGCGGUUACCACACCAAGAUAUAGCGACAUUAGCUCGGAUUCAGACUCAGUUUUCAGCGGUUUAAGCGAUUCAACAGAUUACGCAUGUAUUGAAACAGAUGGUCGGAGUAUGGAGGCAGAUAGCGAAAACAAAAUUAAAGAAGAAAUUGAAGAUAUUGAGCGAAUAUCUAUUGACGCUAUUCGGCCAUAGCAUGGGUGUACCUAAUGAAGUGGCCCAUAGCAUGGCUGCCUUAUUAGCAUCGCCAGUAAAAUGUGCGGACCAAACGAUCAGGACUUUCGCAUCUUGUGACACUGGAGCAACUUAAAUAUGUCGAUUGGUAAGUGUUUGUUUCGCAUUAAAUCUGGGUAUCUAGUUUCAAAUGUAGAUACAGCUAGCGUAAAUAGCAUGAUAGCAUCGAUUUGCGUAGCAUGUUAGCAUCAAUUAGCUGGCAGUCAUGCCGAGACCAAAUAUGUCUGAUUAGCACAUAAGUCAACAACAUCAACAAAACUCACCUUUGUGAUUUCGUUGACUUAAUCGUUGCAAAUGCAUCUGCAGGUUAUCCAUACAUCUCUGUGCCAUGUCUGUCUUAGCAUCGCUGGUAAAAUGUGCACACUCUGGUACAUUCAAUGGGGGUCUGGCGGCAGAUUUCUUGCCAGUGGUGCAACUUGAAUCCCUCCCUGUUAGUGUUGUUACACCCUCCGACAACACACCGACGUGGCAUGAUGUCUCCAAGGUUCCAAAAAAUAGUCGGAAAUACGGAAAAUAACAGAGCUGAGACCCAAUGUUUACAAUGGGUUGAAAAUGAAAAUUUUUGUAUUACCUUGGCGACGUCACAUUCUGACGUCAUCCCCUCCAGAGCGAUAAACAGAAAGGCGUUUAAUUUGCCAAAAUUCACCCAUUUAGAGUUCGGAAAUCGGUUAAAAAAAUACAUGGUCUUUUUUCUGCAACAUCAAGGUAUAUAUUGACGCUUGCAUAGGUUUGGUGAUAAUGUUCCCCUUUAACAAAAAAGAGUCACCGCCUAAAGUCUUAAAAAAAAAAAAAUGUAAAUGUAUUUUUUUUUUUUUGGUCCUGUCUAGCUCUGCGGGUUAGCAGAAAGGUGUUUAGCAGGUGAGCAUAAUGUAGUGGACUCUCCCCAAAUUAUAAUAAACACCUCCCAGUCAACUACUAUUAACAUCACUAUGAGCCCGUUGACGCUCUUGAAAUAUAAGCGGCAGCUCAGCUCGCUCGCAGUCCUUGAAGUGAAGGCUAAUUACCGUUUAAGCGUAACGUUAGCUCAUUUUGCAGUGGGUGCACACGGGUGUGUGUCAUGGACAGCAAAACCCUGUCUGUCUGAGAGAAAGACAAGCAUUAUUGACUUACAGUUAACAACUAAGUUAUUUCACUUUACCAUUUUCCGUGUUGAAGCAGCAAAGACAGGUCAAACUACACUGUUCCUUGCACCCGCCCAACCUCUUCCCUGUCCUCCCGGGCGACUACCCCUUAAAUAGACACCACCUUAAAUAACAAAUAUUCCGGGGGAAACACUGCUCAUGUUUAUGUCAAUGCCAAUUUUGCCUGUCAUUCACAAUCCCCAUGUAGGACAAGAACAUUUAUGUUUUUAUUUUUUUCUAUGGAUUCUAAUUUGUAAAAUAUCGUACGUACAAGGUGGCUAACAAUGCAGCUAAUAGGAGUACUCUAUAGCACCCAUAACAUUUGGCACACACCUUUAUGUUCCCUAAAGCUGUUGAGCUGAUGAUGGUCAAGAUUCGGAAUUUCUAAAUCAGAGCUUUUUAUAAAGAAUCUGAAAUGUAUGACUAGAAAAGAUGAGGAUAUUACCUCCACGUCCUUGUCGCUGGUAUCUUUUGAGAGGUGGUCGGCCAGGCCCAACGUGGGGACGCAUGUGUUCUCUGUGAUCCGCGUGUUAAGGUAAACCACACCGAGCAGUUUCUUCAUGUUCUUGUUGACCAGGUGGGUCUCCACUGAAUCUAUCAAUGCCUUCGCCCGCUCCAUCCGCUCCUCUGGAUUCUCCAGCGUCGCCGCUUUGACGGCAGCGGCCUGCUCGCACUCGUUUUCCAAAUCUUCCUCCUCGUCUCCGUCCUCUUCCUCCUCGUCGAGCACGGGCGCCUUGCCGGCCUCGUCGGACGGUUUCCAGUGGUGAUCCGUCAGCGGCGUCUGGAGCGACUGGUACAUCACGCGAGCCAAAAACAGCUUCAAGCGCCACAAAUAGGGAGAGUCUACGUCCUGGAUCUUCUGUUCGAGCUCUUGCUGCAACGCCUCUGGAAUUCUUUUGUCUUUUAGGAUGGCCCACCUGAUGAUAUCUAGCAGGUCGGCCUGCUGGUACAGGUUCUGCGUGGGGGAUUUUAACAGAAGUCCCGCCGCCGUUUCCGGCGAUUUCAAGGCAAUGAAGUGCACCUGGUAAUUCCUAUCAAUGGGAUGAAACAUGUCCACCAUUCCUUGAGUGCUGGCCAGUGCGACGUAGGCUCCGUUGCUGCUCACCGCGAUACCGUGCAGCCGCCUCUCACCUAGAAACUCGGGGCCCAGCAUGUCCUCUCGGUCGAAAAACAGAGUCUUUUCUGUAAAUUUAGGCGUCAGCUUUUUCACCCAGCCGUCCAAGUAGCAUGCGUACACCACCCCCUGCUUGGUGACGGCAAGCGAGGCGACGGGAAGCGAGUGGAGGCCCAACACGUGAGAGUUGUACACGUUUAGUCCACUAGGGGAAACCAUGAGCAAACACCAGUAGAUGUAGCAGCCGCGAGCGGCCACGAUGAGGCUGCAGCUCAAUUUCUGAACGGGGUGGACCAAAGGCACGCAUGUGAUGCUUUCAGCAGGGAUGUGGUCAGACUCCUUCCAGAGGAUGACAGGGUGACGCAGGGUGAAGUAGCCCUUAACCCCCGCCAUGCUGACUGGCAUGAUCUUAACGCUGCCCAGCUCGCUGCCGACGAUCAACCCGCUCAUCCGUCUGUCGGCGUUUUCGUACUCCCACCACGCCAGAUCGCUGGGUCUGCUCACCCCGGACU